UAUAAUGUGUCAUGUAGUCCCAGUUGAGCAUCCAGGCGGAGCAGGUUAAAACACGAUCUUUGUAACCAGACCUUUGUUCCCCUUGCCAGUCUCAGUACCGAGCUUUUGAAUCUUGUGUAGAUUAUUAUUAAGUUACAUUUUGCCGGUUAUAGUGACAUUAAUUUAUUUAUAUUUUUACAGCCUAAGGCAAAGAAGAAAAUGUCCCUAAAAGUCCUUAAAGAUGACUCGAUGACAGAGGAGACCAAAAAUGAUCUGGAUGGUAAAUUUUUCUGUGUUAACUUUCAAGGAACUGUAAUACUUAAAUAAUUAUCUUGUCCAAAUGUGUUUAAACAUUUAAAGUCAUCUAUUCAAAUGUUAUAUGUAUACAUUUUGUUGUACCUAUGCCAUUCUGUAGGUCCUGAAGAUAAAGGAGAUAAAGGCUCUGCUCCAAGUUGCAGCAGCAUAAGCAGCAUUGGAUCAGGAUCAAUUUCCAAAGUGGAGUUCCUAGAAGCCAGGAUCCAAUGGCAAGAAAAAAUAAUAAAGGAUCUUGAGCAAGAGCGCAAUUUCUUGCGUGAGCAAAUCAUGGGAAAGAAGAGAUCGUGUGAGUGAUUUGGGGGCAACUUGUAUCUGCAAAAUAUAAUGUAAUUGUAAUGAACGGUGUGAUAUAUUUUCAUAACAAUCUGAUCUUUGUCUCAUCUAUCCUCUAUUUGAUCAAAGCUCAACCUAAAGUAUUUACUUUGGAGGACGACAACGAGGAUGAUGAUGGCAACAUGGAUGAAGAUGACGUCAUUCCCCAAUCUUCUCCAGACAUCAGUGAGUCCUCGGACAGUGAUGUUGUCAUCCAAAGAAGGAAGAAACGUCGGACACAGCCACCUGCAUCUGCAACUGUGGCUGUGCCUGGAAAAGCUCAUGUAAGAGGUAAGAAUGGCAUAACUUGAACCACCUGCCCUGUGAGCACCAAGUGGUCAUGAAAAAUAAGUAUUAAUAAAAGUGUUGGAAGAGCUGUUAUAAAUAUGUCCUGAAGUAAUUAUGAGGCAAAAAUACAGAUCUUCAGUUCUAGUUUCUGAAUAUACUAGGAAUCUGAUGAUAAAUAAAAAUUAAAUGUCUAAAGUCAAAAAUAUGGCUUUCAUCCAGAAUAAAGCUCCGUUUUAUUUUGCAGCAUUCACACUAAUUAUUAUCCAACAUCAAAUGUAUUGCUAGAAAGAUUUGUCUCUCAGAAUUAAACAUAAUUCAGAACCAUAAGACUUACCAACUAAACAGAUCUUACAGAGUAUCAUUUUUGUAUUGGAUUAUGAACCACAUAUUGUGCGUGAAAUCAUAUCAGGAGAUGAGCAGAUUCUUCAGUUCCUAGAAUAUGCUUCAUACUUUUAUCAAAAGAGAAGUGACCAGUUUGAGCAAUUUCAGCUGACCUUAAGCCGUGGUUUGUGCUCAUUUCUCGUGAUCUUUGUUUUUGUUUUAUGUAUUUUUCAGUGAAAGGGCCAGCUGAGGUUAUCAGCAGAUAUAAAAAAGUCUUGAAAACCUUCUUUGUUCAGUUAAAAUUCUGUUGUAUUAGAAAAGUGAAAUACAGUAUUUGUGCACAGGGAAAUAAAUCACUGAUGCAGUAAUUAUAGAGCUUUAAAGUUUAGGCUGUGGAAGUGCAAUGUUUGUACAGUUCAGUACAUUUGUUCUAACCUUUGACAAGUCAUGUUGAGCUGUGCAGGUUUUAUAUUUUU